UACGGGAGGCAGCAGUGGGGAAUAUUGCACAAUGGGCGCAAGCCUGAUGCAGCCAUGCUGCGUGUAUGAAAAAGGCCUUCGGGUUGUAAAGUACUUUCAGUCGUGAGGAAGGUGUUAAGGUUAAUAACCUUAGCAAUUGACGUUAGCGACAGAAGAAGCACCGGCUAACUCCGUGCCAGCAGCCGCGGUAAUACGGAGGGUGCGAGCGUUAAUCGGAAUUACUGGGCGUAAAGGGCACGCAGGCGGUUAAUUAAGUUGGAUGUGAAAUCCCCGGGCUUAACCUGGGAAUGGCAUUCAAGACUGGUUAGCUAGAGUCUUGUAGAGGGGGGUAGAAUUCCAUGUGUAGCGGUGAAAUGCGUAGAGAUGUGGAGGAAUACCGGUGGCGAAGGCGGCCCCUGGACAAAGACUGACGCUCAUGUGCGAAAGCGUGGGGAGCAAACAGGGAUUAGAUACC
rnacentral:rRNA from 1 species